rnacentral:rRNA from 1 species
UACAGAGGGUGCAAGCGUUGUUCGGAAUUACUGGGCGUAAAGCGCGCGUAGGCGGUGAGCUAAGUCUGUCGUGAAAGCCCCGGGCUCAACCUGGGAAUGGCGAUGGAUACUGGCUCGCUAGAGUGCGGUAGAGGGUGGUGGAAUUCCCGGUGUAGCAGUGAAAUGCGUAGAGAUCGGGAGGAACAUCAGUUGCGAAGGCGGCCACCUGGACCAGCACUGACACUGAGGAGCGAAAGCGUGGGGAGCAAACAGG